ensembl:lncRNA
CGAAAUUAAGGUAAGCUGAAUAUAUUCAAUAUUUUUUCAUAUGCAUCAUGUUGUCCUACACAAGGAACUUAUUUAUGGAAAAAGGUGAUGAAUAUUAUAAACUAAAAUCACAUUUUCUUCUUGUGUCUGCCUCUGAUUCUAAACCUGGUGGGGGGUGCCUGCUACAAAAUCAAGUAUAUUUCUGAGGAUCUUCCCUCUCCUAUAAUUGCCGGGAUAUUCACUCAGGCUUCUCACGUGGUUUUAUAAUUUCUAUUGGAACACUUCCUGGGGAAGGUACAACAGAGACUGCAUAAACAACACUCAAGUUUAAAAGUCCAUAGAUGGUCUGGUUCUGCCACUCUUAGCUCACAAGAUAAAUCAACUGAAGUGUUUCAGAAACAUUUAGGUUUGGAUUUGCAUUUGAGGUGUGAAAAAAAGUAGCAUCCUUAAAUGUAUUAUCUUCAGUUCUCAAGGUACGGAUAUCUAAUUAUCUACAGUUCGCUCAAAAACUAUUCUAAUCAAAUCUUCUUUGGGAUGUCAAGUGUUAAAGUACCAGCAAGUAAAAACAUAUUUAAUGGCAACCAUUUGUGUGUUUAAUUUCUAGUGCUCAACAUAGUGCCACCUUUACUAGACAAUUUGCUUCACCAUUUUUCAUUGCCAUUCUCCAAAGGAAAAUAAGCAAUCUGUUAACAGUUUAUAGUAUUCAGAUAUGAUGAAAGAGACACAGCCACUUUUUAACAGAAACACUGUAGCUUAAAAUGGUUUGGUAAAGGUAUGAGAUUGGGUCAGCAAUGCAAAACUGAAAAAAAUUAGAAUGCAAUAAAAAAAAAAUGUAGAUAUUACAUGUGACUACUCCACUCUACCCAGACUCUUCAUUUCUUUUUUUGACACAGAACUACUCUUUUAUCUCAUCGAAAAGCGACUGUCAGGAUUAUCAGUGUGAUGCUGCUUUGCUCCAGGACAGAAACUGAACCAAUUUGCUGAGAGAAAACUGUAUGAGAUAAAUGAUAAGAGUGACAAGCAAGAACAACAUGGCCACCAUCAUCAGCUUCGGGACCAGCAGAGAAUUUACCAAACAUGUACUCUAGAAGACAAUUUGACCUUGACAAACUCGCCAAACAGUGCUUUUUCAGCCACAUCAUGGACAUCUUGGCUAAGGACCACAGAGUGAUUCCACAGAGCCUCUCC